rnacentral:rRNA from 1 species
GGGAACUACGGGCCAGCGGUCGGGGUAAUACGUAGGCGGCUAGCGUUGGUCGGAUGGAAUGGGUGUAAAGGGCGCGUAGGCGGAUUAGUAAGUCAGUGGUUAAAGCGUGCGGCUUAACUGCAUUGAUGCCAUUGAUACUAUUAGUCUAGAGUUCAGUAGGGAGAGUUGGAAUUCCUGGUGUAGUAGUGAAAUACGCAGAUAUCAGGAAGAAUACCGGAGGCGAAGGCGAGCUCUUGGGCUGAUACUGACGCUGAGGCGCGAAAGUGUGGGGAUCAAACAGGAUUAGAUACCCGAGUAGUC